CUUUUGAUUGUGGAGGCUGGUAGCAAGCGAGUAGAAGGGAUCAUCUCAUUGAGUGACGUGUUCAGGUUUCUGCUUGGUUAGCUUGGAUGUUAGCCAUGAUCUGCAUGGAAGUUUCUGCUAUGGUCAUACUGAGGAAGGCUCACUUUAUUCUUGUUAAGUCUCUUCCAUCGCAAGGACCCCAUGCGUCUGAGCCCUGCCCACUUUUUAGGUUAGAAUAUUCAGAGCAUAAAAAGAAUUUGUAAAUUGUGAGUAUUCAAAUUUUCCCCUUACAACCCAUUUAUUUUUAGCUCAAUUGUCCUGCUGGAGCAGCUGUAAAAUGAGGCUUUAAAAGUGCAGUAAACUGCCUGUGGCACUCCAUUAUUGUUGGUGGGCUAUGCGUUAAAAUGGUUCAUUUUCUAUUUCUGAUUCUGCCAUCUAAAGUGAGGCAAAACAAUUACA
rnacentral:misc_RNA from 1 species